CAGUAGCCGCGGUAAUACAGAGGGUGCAAGCGUUAAUCGGAAUUACUGGGCGUAAAGCGUGCGCAGGCGGUUAUAUAAGACAGAUGUGAAAUCCCCGGGCUCAACCUGGGAACUGCAUUUGUGACUGUAUAGCUAGAGUACGGCAGAGGGGGAUGGAAUUCCGCGUGUAGCAGUGAAAUGCGUAGAUAUGCGGAGGAACACCGAUGGCGAAGGCAAUCCCCUGGGCCUGUACUGACGCUCAUGCACGAAAGCGUGGGGAGCAAACAGGAUUAGAUACCCGAGUAGUCCCUGUCUCUUAUAC
rnacentral:rRNA from 1 species